UACGAAGGGUGCGAGCGUUAUUCGGAAUAACUGGGCGUAAAGAGUUUGAAGGCGGCUUUUUAAGUCAGCUGUUAAAUUCCCUGGCUUAACUAGGGAUCUGCAGUUGAAACUGGAGAGCUAGAGUGUGGGAGAGAAGGGUAGAAUUCUCGGAGUAGCGGUAAAAUGCGUAGAUCUCGAGAGGAAUACCGGUUGCGAAGGCGGCCCUUUGGCCCAUAACUGACGCUCAAGAGCGAAAGCGUGGGGAGCAAACAGG
rnacentral:rRNA from 1 species